rnacentral:tRNA from 1 species
ACUUAAAUAGCUUAGAGUUAGAGUUUAAUAUUGAAGAUAUUAAGGUGGCAAGUGUGCCUUUAAGUA